rnacentral:rRNA from 1 species
AACGAACGCUGGCGGCAUGCCUAACACAUGCAAGUCGAACGAGACCUUCGGGUCUAGUGGCGCACGGGUGCGUAACGCGUGGGAAUCUGCCCUUCGGUUGGGAAUAACUGAGAGAAAUUUCAGCUAAUACCUUAUAAUGUCUUCGGACCAAAGAUUUAUCGCCGAGGGAUGAGCCCGCGUAGGAUUAGGUAGUUGGUGGGGUAAUGGCCUACCAAGCCGACGAUCCUUAGCUGGUCUGAGAGGAUGAUCAGCCACACUGGGACUGAGACACGGCCCAGACUCCUACGGGAGGCAGCAGUGGGGAAUAUUGGACAAUGGGCGAAAGCCUGAUCCAGCAAUGCCGCGUGAGUGAUGAAGGCCUUAGGGUUGUAAAGCUCUUUUACCCGGGAUGAUAAUGACGGUACCGGGAGAAUAAGCUCCGGCUAACUCCGUG